AAUGCUGCUUAUUGAGGAGAGAGAGUAUCCUUUGAUUGCUCAUUUCCUUUUCUUCCUUUGUUUUUUAUUUUAUUUUUGACAAAGAAAAAAUUGGGUUAGAACAUCAAAUAAUUUUAACUCAAUGGUACUGAGAUUAGUCUCUGAGUAUGUGAUGUUUUGAAACAAUUAGCUUUUUAAAUCAAUGGUAAUGAAGUUGUCUCGGAAGAUAUGAGGUCUAAGUUCGAGCUCCCAUAGGAGCCAAAUAAACCAAAAUAUUGGAUUAAAACAGCCUAACAGCAUUUCUUCUUCUGCUGCUGCUUCUUCCUCCUCUUCUUGCAGUAACCAUUUUGGAUGGAUUUGGAUUUUUCUUAAUUUUGGAUUGAACAGUAAAAUUGUAGCAUUGAGUGAUAA
rnacentral:misc_RNA from 1 species